CGAGGGGGAGGGGGGGGGGGAAAUAGGGUGGGGGCGGGCGUUGGGCGGAGUUAUGGGGCGGAAGGAGCAUGUUGGGUGUUCGGCAAGUCGGAUGUGAAAUCUCCAGGCGUAACGUGGAGGGGCCAUUCGAGACUGCCGUGACUCGGGGCCGGUAGGGGAGGGUGGAAUUCCCGGUGUAGCGGGGAAAUGCGCAGAUAUCGGGAGGAACACCAGUAGCGAAGGCGGCACUCUGGGCCGGUACUGACGCUGAGGAGCGAAAGCGUGGGGAGCGAACAGGAUUAGAUACCCGAGUAGUC
rnacentral:rRNA from 1 species